rnacentral:rRNA from 1 species
AGUGAACGUUGGCGGCGUGGAUUAGGCAUGCAAGUCGAGCGAGAACCGUAGCAAUACGGGGACAGCGGCGAAAGGGACAGUAAUGUGUAGGUACCUACCCCGAGGUCUGGGAUAGCUGCGGGAAACUGCAGGUAAUACCGGAUAAUGUCUUCGGACCAAAGGUGUGAUCCCACCUUGGGAGGGGCCUGCAUCCUAUUAGCUUGUUGGCGGGGUAACGGCCCACCAAGGCGACGAUGGGUAGCGGGUGUGAGAGCACGACCCGCGUCAUUGGGACUGAGACACUGCCCAGCCACCUACGGGUGGCUGCAGUCGAGGAUCUUCGGCAAUGGGCGCAGGCCUGACCGAGCGACGCCGCGUGCGGGAUGAAGGCCUUCGGGUUGUAAACCGCUGUCGUAGAGGAGGAAAUGCAGGGGGGUUCUCCCCUCUGUUUGACCUAUUCUAGGAGGAAGGACGGGCUAAGUUCGUGCCAGCAGCCGCCGUAA